AUUGUUGUCCAUCUUCAUCCCUUCUCAUUGUUGCCGGAGGAUCGAGGUUUUUUCCUCGCGGAUGCUUUUUGAACCCUAAACCUUCUCGUAUGUACUCAUCCACUUCUUUUUCCUUUUUUUGAAGAAUUGGUUUCAAAUCCUCUCAUUUCCUUGAUUCAAUUGUCUCUCUAUUGUGCCCUAGACCUUGGUGGGGGAGAAGAGCACUCGAAUUGGAUGGCAGGAUCUCCAUGAAACUUGUCAAUUAAUCCUUGAUUCCUAAUCGGAGCACCUUUUCAAGCUCCAACUACUAGUCGCGAGAGGGAACUGCAGACUCUUCUUUGCCAACUACAACAGAGUGUGGGCUCCCUUGUAGAGGACGUUCAGAAGUUGAAAGUGAAGAACUCUCAGGGAUCUUGUAUUGUGAAGAAAGAAGGCAUGUUUGGUGGGUCAAGCACUUGAAAUCAACUAUUUCCGAUUGAGA